UACGUAGGGGGGCUAGCGUUGUCCGGAAUCAUUGGGCGUAAAGAGCGUGUAGGCGGUCCGGUAAGUCCGCUGUGAAAGUCGGGGGCUCAACCCUCGAAUGCCGGUGGAUACUGUCGGGCUAGAGUGCGGAAGAGGCGAGUGGAAUUCCUGGUGUAGCGGUGAAAUGCGUAGAUAUUGGGAAGAACACCGGUGGCGAAGGCGGCCAUCUGGACCGGAACUGACGCUGAGGCGCGAAAGCCAGGGGAGCGAAUGGG
rnacentral:rRNA from 1 species